rnacentral:rRNA from 1 species
UACGUAGGGUGCGAGCGUUAAUCGGAAUUACUGGGCGUAAAGCGUGCGUAGGCGGUUCGUUAUGUCUGCUGUGAAAUCCCCGGGCUCAACCUGAGAAUGGCCGUUGAAACUGGCGAACUGGAGUGUGGCAGAGGGGGGUGGAAUUCCGCGUGUAGCAGUGAAAUGCGUAGAGAUGCGGAGGAACACCGAUGGCGAAGGCAGCCCCCUGGGCUAACACUGACGCUCAGGCACGAAAGCGUGGGGAGCAAACAGG